UGGCAUUCCUUAACGUCAUAAACAGGCAGC
rnacentral:piRNA from 1 species